UUACGGGAGGCAGCAGUUGGGAAUCUUGGACAAUGGGGGAAACCCUGAUCCAGCCAUGCCGCGUGAGUGAUGAAGGCCUUCGGGUUGUAAAACUCUUUCGACGGGGACGAUAAUGACGGUACCCGUAGAAGAAGCUCCGGCUAACUUCGUGCCAGCAGCCGCGGUAAUACGAAGGGGGCUAGCGUUGUUCGGAAUUACUGGGCGUAAAGCGCGCGCAGGCGGCUAUCCAAGUCAGUGGUGAAAGCCCGGAGCUCAACUCCGGAACUGCCAUUGAAACUGUUUAGCUUGAGGAUGAGAGAGGUGAGUGGAAUUCCCAGUGUAGAGGUGAAAUUCGUAGAUAUUGGGAAGAACACCGGUGGCGAAGGCGGCUCACUGGCUCAUUACUGACGCUCAGGCGCGAUAGCGUGGGGAUCAAACAGGAUUAGAUACCCCUGUAGUCU
rnacentral:rRNA from 1 species